AUUGAACGCUGGCGGCAUGCCUUACACAUGCAAGUCGAACGGCAGCACGGGAGCAAUCCUGGUGGCGAGUGGCGAACGGGUGAGUAAUACAUCGGAACGUGCCCUGUAGUGGGGGAUAACUAGUCGAAAGACUAGCUAAUACCGCAUACGACCUGAGGGUGAAAGUGGGGGACCGCAAGGCCUCAUGCUAUAGGAGCGGCCGAUGUCUGAUUAGCUAGUUGGUGGGGUAAAGGCCUACCAAGGCGACGAUCAGUAGCUGGUCUGAGAGGACGAUCAGCCACACUGGGACUGAGACACGGCCCAGACUCCUACGGGUGGCAG
rnacentral:rRNA from 1 species